UACGUAGGGGGCAAGCGUUGUCCGGAUUUAUUGGGCGUAAAGAGCGUGUAGGCGGCUUGGCAAGUCCGCUGUGAAAGCUCGAGGCUUAACCUCGAGACGUCGGUGGAAACUGCCUGGCUAGAGUCCGGAAGAGGAGAGUGGAAUUCCUGGUGUAGCGGUGAAAUGCGCAGAUAUCAGGAAGAACACCCGUGGCUAAGGCGGCUCUCUAGUACGGUACUGACGCUGAGACGCGAAAGCGUGGGGAGCGAACAGG
rnacentral:rRNA from 1 species